GACGAACGCUGGCGGCGUGCCUAAUACAUGCAAGUAGAACGCUGAAGGAGGAGCUUGCUUCUCCGGAUGAGUUGCGAACGGGUGAGUAACGCGUAGGUAACCUGCCUGGUAGCGGGGGAUAACUAUUGGAAACGAUAGCUAAUACCGCAUAAGAGUAGAUGUCGCAUGACAUUUGCUUAAAAGGUGCAAUUGCAUCACUACCAGAUGGACCUGCGUUGUAUUAGCUAGUUGGUGAGGUAACGGCUCACCAAGGCAACGAUACAUAGCCGACCUGAGAGGGUGAUCGGCCACACUGGGACUGAGACACGGCCCAGACUCCUACGGGAGGCAGCAGUAGGGAAUCUUCGGCAAUGGACGGAAGUCUGACCGAGCAACGCCGCGUGAGUGAAGAAGGUUUUCGGAUCGUAAAGCUCUGUUGUAAGAGAAGAACGAGUGAGAGAGUGGAAAGUUCACACUGUGACGGUAUCUACCAGAAA
rnacentral:rRNA from 1 species